rnacentral:rRNA from 1 species
AUACGUGGGGGGCGAGCGUUGUCCGGAAUGAUUGGGCGUAAAGGGCGCGUAGGCGGCCCGGUAAGUCUGGAGUGAAAGUCCUGUUUUUAAGAUGGGAAUUGCUUUGGAUACUGUCGGGCUUGAGUGCAGGAGAGGUAAGUGGAAUUCCCAGUGUAGCGGUGAAAUGCGUAGAGAUUGGGAGGAACACCAGUGGCGAAGGCGACUUACUGGACUGUAACUGACGCUGAGGCGCGAAAGUGUGGGGAGCAAACAGGAUUAGAUACCCUGGUAGUCCACACUGUAAACGAUGAAUGCUAGGUGUAGGGGGUAUCGACCCCUUCUGUGCCGCAGUCAACACAAUAAGCAUUCCGCCUGGGGAGUACGGCCGCAAGGUUGAAACUCAAAGGAAUUGACGGGG